rnacentral:lncRNA from 1 species
CAAGCGCUGAAGAAAUUUUGAACUUAUCCUUCUCCUUUUAUGAGCUCUUGGUGAAGUACAUCGUAGCAUAGCUAGAGUUGUCAAAGUCCGAGAAUUUCAGAAGGAGGUGAAUAUGUACUCAAAGGAUCUGAAUUACUUGUGGAUUGCUCUGGUAACUAAUUAUCUCUCUUUUCGAGUUUUUUAUUUCUUAUCAUGUUUCAACAGGUAUGUAUAUUUGACAAUACAUACUAAUACUAUCUUGAUGUUGUUAAGUUGAAUUCCAAAUUAUUUUGGCAUGAAUUAUAGAGAACCUGCAACAGCUACAAUUUGACAAUGUUCAACAGCUCCAACACCGGGAAUCAAAUUUCUACCCUUCAAAAUGCCGAAUCUCAGUGACAGCGUCGAAGCGGCAGAUGGAGGAGCAAGAAAUGAUGAACAUAGACGAAGAGGAAUACGGGGAGAAAGUGACGUGUUCGAUACAUUACUCUAGCUACUUAGAU